rnacentral:lncRNA from 1 species
AGGCCAAGAUGAUUGACAAGGUUUUAGUGUCACGGGAGCUACUCUAAAAUGCAAGGAAUCAUCAUGUGAUGUCUGGACAUGUACUUUAGGUGCUCGACAAAAUGACAGGGGCACCUAGAAAGCUCCUAUGGCUAUUAAAAUUACCAGAUCAGUGUCCCGUUAGGUGCUGGUCAGAAUGGCAAGGUUAGAUAGGCAAAAAGAAAGACUUGUUAGAUCAAGUUUUUGAG